rnacentral:rRNA from 1 species
GACGAACGCUGGCGGCGUGCCUAAUACAUGCAAGUCGAACGCUUCUUUCCUCCCGAGUGCUUGCACUCAAUUUGAAAGAGGAGUGGCGGACGGGUGAGUAACACGUGGGUAACCUACCCAUCAGAGGGGGAUAACACUGGGAAACAGGUGCUAAUACCGCAUAACAGUUUAUGCCGCAUGGCAUAAGAGUGAAAGGCGCUUUCGGGUGUCGCUGAUGGAUGGACCCGCGGUGCAUUAGCUAGUUGGUGAGGUAACGGCUCACCAAGGCCACGAUGCAUAGCCGACCUGAGAGGGUGAUCGGCCACACUGGGACUGAGACACGGCCCAGACUCCUACGGGAGGCAGCAGUAGGGAAUCUUCGGCAAUGGACGAAAGUCUGACCGAGCAACGCCGCGUGAGUGAAGAAGGUUUUCGGAUCGUAAAACUCUGUUGUUAGAGAAGAACAAGGACGUUAGUAACUGAACGUCCCCUGACGGUAUCUAACCAGAAAGCCACGGCUAACUACGUG